rnacentral:lncRNA from 1 species
AAAAAUUGUCAGUGGUUUUCGACCGAGUAACAUUUGAAACAGGAUUUCGUCGUCAUACAUGUUUAAUUCACAGUAAAGCUGCACUGGAAAAUUGUCACUUAAAAUGUCCCACCAGACUUCUCGCUGUGCAUUAGUACUUGGACAAUUGCAACAAGCGUGUACAUAAACAUCUUUAAAAUUCCUUGAACAUAAAUCACAUAUAUCACUUGUUGUAUUUGGUAUUUCAGUUAGUAAUUUAGUGAUUAAAAAAGAAUUUUUAAUCUCAUUAAAAGAAUUUGAGUGUUUCCAAAAUUCUGUAAUUGUCACUGACGUAUGAAUAUUCCUGAAACGUGUGAAGCUGUCAUCUGAAAUAACACGGUUUAACCAAUUGUUU